rnacentral:sRNA from 1 species
AGAAUGACAGAGAAUAUGAAGAUGGCGU